CUUCAAACAUCUUCACAAAACGCUUUCUUCCUCUCUUCCGCCACCAAACCCCACCGCCUCUUCAUCCGCCGCCACCAAACCCCACCGCCCCUUCACCCACCGCCCAAACACUCUCUGUUGCCGUCGCGGCUUUUCGGGUCGCCGGAGGGACGGCUCGGCCGUCCUUCACCACCGUGAAUUCAAUUCAGUCGACUCUAAUUGCAGAAAUACUUCAACCGGUUCAAGUUCUAUACUGUGGUGUUUGCAUUUUACCCGCCGAGUAUUGUGAAUUUGGUGCCGAUUUUGAAAAAUGCAAAUCCUGGUUUAUCUGAAAUACACCCCAACUUUAUCCCGAUUUAUUCAAGAAUCAAAUUUGGGCUGAUGGAAUUUCAGAUCAAUUAUAAUGUCUUCGAUCACUUAUGGCACUGAACCUUCAGAGAGAAGGCAGAGAGUGUUUGGUGUGCUAGGGUUUAAAAUGAAAGAGAUGGUUGUAUAAACAAAGUUCGUGCAGACAUUAUCAAUUUAUAAAACCAAACAGUCUUAUAUUUUCAGCUUGCA